rnacentral:rRNA from 1 species
AACUGAGACACGGACCAGACUCCUACGGGAGGCAGCAGUAAGGAAUAUUGGUCAAUGGAGGCAACUCUGAACCAGCCAUGCCGCGUGCAGGAAGACUGCCUUAUGGGUUGUAAACUGCUUUUAUACGGGAAUAAACCUUGAUUCGUGAAUCGAGCUGAAUGUACCGUAAGAAUAAGGAUCGGCUAACUCCGUGCCAGCAGCCGCGGUAAUACGGAGGAUCCAAGCGUUAUCCGGAUUUAUUGGGUUUAAAGGGAGCGUAGGCGGCCUAUUAAGUCAGGGGUGAAAGACGGUGGCUCAACCAUCGCAGUGCCUUUGAUACUGGUAGGCUUGAAUGUAGUUGAGGUAGGCGGAAUGUGACAAGUAGCGGUGAAAUGCAUAGAUAUGUCACAGAACACCGAUUGCGAAGGCAGCUUACUAAGCUAUGAUUGACGCUGAGGCUCGAAAGCGUGGGGAUCAAACAGGAUUAGAUACCCUGGUAGUCCACGCCCUAAACGAUGAUAACUCGAUGUUGGCGAUAUACAGUCAGCGUCCAAGCGAAAGCGUUAAGUUAUCCACCUGGGGAGUACGCCCGCAAGGGUGAAACUCAAAGGAAUUGACGGGGGCCCGCACAAGCGGAGGAGCAUGUGGUUUAAUUCGAUGAUACGCGAGGAACCUUACCCGGGCUUGAAAGUUACUGAAGAAUUUAGAGAUAGAUUCGUCCUUCGGGACAGGAAACUAGGUGCUGCAUGGCUGUCGUCAGCUCGUG